GGCCGCUUGAAACAGCACAGUCGGCUGUCUUCUGAUUCUGGAGGAUGUCUGGGCUUGCAGGGGCACUGCUGGCC
rnacentral:lncRNA from 1 species